CACGUAGGGUGCGAGCGUUGUCCGGAAUUAUUGGGCGUAAAGAGCUCGUAGGCGGUGUGUCGCGUCGGCCGUGAAAACCUGCAGCUUAACUGUGGGCUUGCGGUCGAUACGGGCAUCACUGGAGUUCGGCAGGGGAGACUGGAAUUCCUGGUGUAGCGGUGAAAUGCGCAGAUAUCAGGAGGAACACCGGUGGCGAAGGCGGGUCUCUGGGCCGAUACUGACGCUGGAGGCGCGAAAAGCGUGGGGAGCGAACAGG
rnacentral:rRNA from 1 species